rnacentral:misc_RNA from 1 species
CGUUUAAACAUAGUGGAAGAGAGAAAAUCUCUCUGGUAGUUGUUUGAAUUAAAACUAAAUUUUCGUGUGACUAGUAUUGGGAAUCAUACGCAACAGUUAUCCUUAUUCCAGAAAAUUAGAUACUACGAAUAAUUAAUUAUAUAAUUAUACGAUUGUGCUAUGAACAAUUUAUCCCUAUGCUAUGAUCAUAGUCACAGAGCAAAUAAAAAUGAUGAAAUUUUCUGGGGUUUUAAUUAGAUUGAGUUUAAGUUUAGUUCUAAGACUUUACAUGCCAGUGUCACCAUAUGUUAACCGAUGUAUUAAAGGAAAGUAGCGCGAAGUUUAUCAAAUCAAAUGUAUAAGAGACUAAAAUAAUAGUGCAAUACAACAAUGCAUUAUUAUAUACACAAUAUAUAGUACGACAUAAAUGAUAAUACAAUACGAACUAUUUAAAAUUAAAAAAAGUUAAUUAGAGGACAUAAAAGCAGUAUUCGUGAAAUAAAUAUGUAAUAUAAGUAUUUAACACGUUGACUGCCACGAUACUCGUAUUCGGGUGUCGCUUAUUUGACU